rnacentral:lncRNA from 1 species
AUUUUUUAAUAAAAAUGAUUUCCAUUUUUAUCUAUAUAUUAAAAAUAUAUAAAUGCAUAUAAACAUUAAUAAUAUGGACCCAAGUUAUAAGAGAUAUAUACCUUACUUGGGCUCCGACCCAAAACCAAAUCAAGGGCCCAAUUUCUGAUGGGUUACAGGCCAGUUGGGUUGGGAUGGUUCCUGGGUUGCGCGUCGGCUGGUUCUAGGCGCACGAGCUCAACCCGCUCAACUUUAUUUUAUUUUAUUUCAUUUCAUCUUCUAACCUAAAAAAAAGAAAUCCCCUCUCUGUCCAAAAAAAAGCUGCUAGCCACCUCUAAAAAACAAAAAAACCCCAGAUUUCGACCGUCGUGCCAACCACUAGCCACUGCUCUCCGACGUUGUUUCGAGCCCAAAUUUUAUCCCGCUAUAUAUAUAUUUUGGUGGUGGUUUGGUGCUGCUUCUUCCCUAAUCCAGGGAAUGUGUUUGGAUUUUUUUUUUGGGCAGUUGAUGGCAGUAGGGUUGGGGUAUUAUGUUCAGUGCAAGGGGGUGAUGGGGGUUCAUGGUGGAAGCUGUGUCUCUGCUAGGAUGAUGGAGCUGGGAUUUUUAUUUUUUGGCAAGGGUUCUCGGCGGUUGAGUUAGGCAAGGCUGCCAACAAUGUGGGUUUGAAAUGGGUGGUAGUCGGGUAGAUUGGUGAGGUUGGGGGAGGUUUUUAGGUGUUUCAGUUGGGUUCCUAGUUUGGCUAUAGGCGAUGGUUGUGGUGGUCUCAAGGUUUGGUAGUGAGCUGCAUGGGGCUCAGGAGUGCUUUUGGGAUUUUCAAGCCUUCUUUUUUUGUAAAAAUCUCUCCCUUCUGUCUUGAAAUUUUGGUUGAUUUUUAUCAACCUUCGGGAUCAUUCGCAGAACCAAAGCGGAAGAGGGAGAUGCUGGGUAAAACAAAGUGGUUGACAACUAAAGUAGCUGAAAUUCAGCUGCCAUAGCGGCUAGUAGGCUGGGCUGGCCGGAUGGUGUUGUGCACGGCACCACCAUCUCAGUCUCUGUUUUGUUUGUUUGUUUUUUUUUUUCUGAUUUUUUUUUAAAUUUUUGUGUAUUAUUUAUUUAAUUAAUCAAAAUUUAAAUUGGACUUUCGG